AGCGGCGGACGGGUGAGUAACGCGUAAGAAUCUAACUUCAGGACGGGGACAACAGUUGGAAACGACUGCUAAUACCCGAUGCGCCGCAAGGUGAAACCUAAUUGGCCUGGAGAAGAGCUUGCGUCUGAUUAGCUAGUUGGUGGGGUAAAGGCCUACCAAGGCGACGAUCAGUAGCUGGUCUGAGAGGAUGAGCAGCCACACUGGGACUGAGACACGGCCCAGACUCCUACGGGAGGCAGCAGUGGGGAAUUUUCCGCAAUGGGCGAAAGCCUGACGGAGCAACGCCGCGUGAGGGAGGAAGGUCUUUGGAUUGUAAACCUCUUUUCUCAAGGAAGAAGUUCUGACGGUACUUGAGGAAUCAGCCUCGGCUAACUCCGUGCCAGCAGCCGCGGUAAUACGGGGGAGGCAAGCGUUAUCCGGAAUUAUUGGGCGUAAAGCGUCCGCAGGUGGUCAGCCAAGUCUGCCGUCAAAUCAGGUUGCUUAACGACCUAAAGGCGGUGGAAACUGGCAGACUAGAGAGCAGUAGGGGUAGCAGGAAUUCCCAGUGUAGCGGUGAAAUGCGUAGAGAUUGGGAAGAACAUCGGUGGCGAAAGCGUGCUACUGGGCUGUAUCUGACACUCAGGGACGAAAGCUAGGGGAGCGAAAGGGAUUAGAUACCCCUGUAGUCCUAGCCGUAAACGAUGGAUACUAGGCGUGGCUU
rnacentral:rRNA from 1 species